rnacentral:rRNA from 1 species
GACGAACCGAGCGAACGUUGUUCGGAAUCACUGGGCUUAAAGGGCGCGUAGGCGGACUAUCAAGUCUGGGGUGAAAUCCCGCGGCUCAACCGUGGAACUGCCUCAGAUACUGACGGUCUCGAGGGAGGUAGGGGCAUGCGGAACUGUAGGUGGAGCGGUGAAAUGCGUUGAUAUCUACAGGAACUCCGGUGGCGAAGGCGACUCACUGGCCCGAUACUGACGCUGAGGCGCGAAAGCGUGGGGAGCAAACAGG